UUUCUAGGAGAAGGGUAAGGAUUGAGGAUGAUGAUUCUGAUGAAUAUUCACAUGCUUUUACUGUUCCUGCUACCCAACAAACUGUCUGAAGUCGUUCGCAGAGAGCAAGUAAAACUAUAGCAAUGAGCAAGAUGUCUGCAACCAGAUCAGUCAGAAUUUACGAAAUUGAAGAACAAGAGGAAGAAGACGACUCUGAUGUAACAUCUGAGGAUUCUGAUGAAUACUGAUCAGUUUUGUACAGAAGAGCGCAUCAGUAGUCUGGCUUGCAUUUGCUCACAAGCCAAUGGGGUAUUAGUAUUAUAUUCAGUUGGGGUGAAUGAAAUUCUCCUGUUUGGCAAUUAUGGUAACUCCAUUAUCCAUCUGUUGCCCAUUAUUUGAACGAGCUUUCUUGUGAAUUUAUUAUUGUAUGAUAUCAGUGUGUGUUAGUAGUUGGAAAGAAGCAAAGGACUUAUCUCAAGUAUGUAUCCCAAUUUAAGAAGAAAACCAUGACAUGUUCAACCUAUGUGGACUAGUAUGUAUAUCUUGAAGAAAAAUGGUGUGCCAAACUAUCGAAUUAUGAAAGAUUCGUUUACACGGAAAUCUUAACAUA